CACGUAGGGCGCAAGCGUUAACCGGAAUUAUUGGGCGUAAAGAGCUCGUAGGCGGUCUGUUGCGUCCGCUGUGAAAACUCGGGGCUUAACCCCGGGCCUGCAGUGGAUACGGGCAGACUAGAGGUAGGUAGGGGAGAAUGGAAUUCCCGGUGUAGCGGUGAAAUGCGUAGAUAUCUGGAGGAACACCGGUGGCGAAGGCGGCACCCUGGACCAACACUGACACUGAGGAGCGAAAGCCAGGGGAGCAAACGGG
rnacentral:rRNA from 1 species